rnacentral:rRNA from 1 species
UACGAAAGUGGCUAGCGUUGUUCGGAAUUACUGGGCGUAAAGCGCACGUAGGCGGCCUUGUAAGAUGGGGGUGAAAUCCCUGGGCUCAACCCAGGAACUGCCUUCAUGACUGCAAAGCUCGAGGAUGUGAGAGGUUGGCAGAAUUCCGAGUGUAGAGGUGAAAUUCGUAGAUAUUCGGAGGAACACCGGUGGCGAAGGCGGCCAACUGGCACAUUUCUGACGCUGAGGUGCGAAAGCGUGGGGAGCAAACAGG